UCUUUAGUAAGACUGCUCUUACUAAACCCAAGUGCUGGGUUGAACCAUUUGACCCAAAAUGCUGGGUUGUUUGUUUGACCCAACUAGUGGGUCGGGUUAACUGUGUUUCUGGGUUAACAUAACCUAAACAUUGGGUUAUAUGUUGUCUCAUUGCCUUGCUACUUUUAUAUUUACCAAUAAAAAUAAAUAAUCUCAAGGGAAUGUACAAUUAUUAUAAUUUUUCUGUACACUCUAAAAAAUGCUGGGUUAUUUGUUUAACCCAACAGCUGGGUUGAGCCUGUUGGGUCAUUUUGUUGGGUUAUUUUCAAACGCUGGGUUACCAGUCGGGUCCAAUUGAGUGACAGUUGAGAGAGUAAACCCCUCCCACUCCUCUACGCAUCAGACAAACUUUACCUUCGCGGGCAUUUUGGUCCACCUCAUCUCGAAAAGCUGUUAUUCGGAGAAUAAAAGGAUGCAGAAUAACAGCUAAUAUUAAUGGAUCAUUCUAUUCAAGAGAAAGUCAACUGGAACUUGGAUGUUUUCAUAACAGGCUUAAAGAUGAACAAAUUGAUAAAGAAACCCUCCUGCUGAACAUCCACUUCCAAAAGUGCACGCCACACUGUUGUCUACAAACUCCUUGGAAAAGAAUCCUCUUUAGUAAGACUGCUCCGUGGAUAUGUCAGGUUAAGCAGUGCUGAAACCGAAAGAACUAACGCUCUUUAAAAUGUUUUGUGAGUUUAUAUGAAGAGGAAAGUUACGGUGUCCCUUUUUCACAUCCAUAACGCUUGUUUAUUUCUUUUUUUAUAGAAAACUUGUGCAUAGACUAAUAUUUUAUCAUAUAAAUGUGGUUCUAUCAACAGGGUUUAGUAAAAUACUUUUUAUAGUGUUUUUAUGUUGCAUCCAUAACGCUGCAAUUGCCCUAAAGCAUUUUACUCGUGCCACUUUGUUAACUGUAUAUACAUUUUUGAAGUGUUAAGUUGUCUAACUAUUUAUAUUUACUUUAAUAACUUUAAUAACCUUGUUAAAUGUAUAUGUUAAAAUCUAAACUAAUGUAAUUUAUUGAAGUUAAUUUUCCUUAAAUAUGUAUUAACAUACAUUUCAUCAAAGUGUUUUAUA